rnacentral:hammerhead_ribozyme from 1 species
AUCCAGCUGACGAGUCCCGAAUAGGACGAGACUUGUGUCUGGAU